GUUAAAUCCUUUAUGUUUUAAUUCUCACAGCCACCCAUGGGUGGGUGCUGCCAAAGACCUAUGCUUCAUAGAUGGAGAUGUUGAGGCAUAGACUCAGGAAGGAUCUUACACCAAAUCUUGUAAGUGGAGGAGUCAGAAUGUGAACUUGGCCCUUCUGAGUGUUUAAUCUCUACGAUAUUCUGCCUCUCAGGUGGAUGGGGAGGGUCCAUAAGGGCCCCUGAUCUGGUCUAGUGGGACCUCGGAAGACUCUUGGGUUGUUCAACUGAAGAACCAGCAAGGGAUGCCGGUGAAGCACAGAGAAGGUUUCUUGGUCCUUCCCAUAGCCCUGAAAGAUGCUGUUCCUCUGGGAGGGCCUUUGUGACUCAGAAGGGCAGCAAAGACUUCCUGCACUGGCUGAGAUUCAUGCACGAGGGACCCAGACCUUCACCUCAGAUGAACGCAAGGACAGCCACUGGGUCACUCUCUCCCCAGUGUCUGAGAGGAUCCGAGAUGAUGGCAGUAUUUCCUGGUCCCCGGGGCUGCCUUUCCCUCCAAGUGUGGACCACAGAGGAGCCACUGUGGUGUCGGCCUGCACAGCCUCACUCCACAGACUUGCAGUCCUCCAGUGGACGCAGCAUCAUCGGAAACAAAAGCCAAGAAUGCUGAGGGGCCCCUGGGGCCAGUGACAGCGGCUGGCCGGGCGCCAGGAAUCACCACAGGUCCACAGCUCAGUCAGGAGCAGGAAUUCUCAUCCUCAGGUGGCUGCGUGGACCCAUCGGGAGAAUUCCGACUCGGAGUCUGCAGAGAGUCAAACCCAGGCUCUACCACCUACUUGGGGAGCCUCUUCCCUGACCUGGGCUUGUUUGCUUAGCUGUAGUGAGCGAGAGACCCCCUCACUCCCCCAACCUGGGAGGGUUGGAGGAUCCAGGGGUCUCUGAGACCUAUCACAGCAGCUCAGGACAGUGGCCUCAGGACCACGAGGAUGGAGGGUGCUCCUGGCUGGGUGAGGGUGGCGAGGGGAUGGCAUUCUCCUCUCUUCCUUCCCACAAAAACCUAAGGAACACUUGCCUCCGGGGCCUGGAGAUGCGGGACAAGCAUCGUUUUACUCCAGGGAACAGGAGUGCCACUCGAGAGCCCCUGUCCAUAGGAAGAUGUUGGAGACUCAGUGGUUCCAAGUCCUCCUGCCAGGUCAGGACCUCAGAGGCCCCUGGAGUGAGUGUCUGGCACACCCACCCCCAGGCCCUUCCAUAACCUGCU
rnacentral:lncRNA from 13 species